UGGGGAAUCUUGCACAAUGGGGGCAACCCUGAUGCAGCGACGCCGCGUGAGCGAUGAAGCCCUUCGGGGCGUAAAGCUCUUUCGACCGGAACGAUAAUGACGGUACCGGGAGAAGAAGCUGCGGCUAACUACGUGCCAGCAGCCGCGGUAAUACGUAGGCAGCAAGCGUUGUUCGGAGUUACUGGGCGUAAAGCGUGCGUAGGCGGUUUUCUAAGUUCGGUGUGAAAUCUCCCGGCUUAACUGGGAGGGUGCGCCGAAGACUGGGAAGCUGGAGUGUGGGAAAGGCAGGCGGAAUUCCUGGUGUAGCGGUGAAAUGCGUAGAUAUCAGGAGGAACACCGGCGGUGUAGACGGCUUGCUAGACCAUGACUGACGCUGAGGCACGAAAGCGUGGGUAGCAAACA
rnacentral:rRNA from 1 species